rnacentral:lncRNA from 1 species
UUUCUGUUAUUUAUCAAAAACAGAGAAAUGGUACUCAAACCAAUAGGGAAAUUCUAACUAGUAAAAGAAAUGAGAUUAAUAUUGAGCUCCAUUCAAGAAUUGAUCUGCAGAAGAAGAAGAAGAGAGGAAAGAAUCAGAUUGAGAUGAGAUGAGCAGAGAAUUUGAGAGGGAGAAAAGAGCACGAGGAAAGGGUUGAGAAUUACCAGAUUUUAGUUAGCCUUCUCUCUCUUCUGUGAUGUGUAUAUAUAACCAUUUGUCCACGUGGCACGAUCUCGUCCCUUGAGCUUAAUUAACUGAAAUAAAUCUUGACCCUUCAUUCUUUUAUUUACUCAGUUAAGACUUAUACUCCUUCCGGACUUCAACUCUUAACGGCAACAUUUUAUCAGUUAGUGGAGAUCAUAACA